rnacentral:tRNA from 1 species
UGCCCGGUAGCCAAGCGGUAAGGCAGCGGCCUUUGGAGCCGCCAUUCGUUGGUUCGAAUCCAGCCCGGGCAGCCA